rnacentral:lncRNA from 1 species
GGGAGAAAAAAUUCCUUCACAAAUGUGUUGAUGGCUGGACAUUGCAUCAUCCUAGAAAACUUGGAGGCCAGUGAGGACAAAAAUAAAAAGUUAUAAGACUUUUAAGAAUAUGGAUAUUUGGGUAAUCUUUGGCGCCCCCUAGAACCUAAACCGUGGGGUGCAGCAUCAUGAUUUGUACAACUUUGAAUGGCCAUGGGGUGUAGAUUGGCCUAAGCAAAUUUGGUGCUGGUUAAAUGAAAGCUCUAGGAGGAGUUAGCCACAUUCCAAUGUGUGCGAAUCGCCAAAAAAUGCGAAUUAGCCCUUUAACCGUACAUUUGACAGAUACACCCGCACUGACUUUUUCGUAGAUCUUAUUGAGAUACACGUGUGUGUCAAAUCUUGUGUCAAUAUGAUGAAGCGUACUUACAGAUAAGUAAUAUGAUUGACUUUAAUGCCUUUUAACUUUUUCUGUAGCAUCAGAUUUAAUAGACAACUCCCUUUGGCGCCCCUCAGUGGCCAUAACUACUUUGUCUGCUGUUAAUAGACAACUCCCUUUGGCGCCACUCAGUGGCCAAAACUACUUUGUCAGCUGUAAAAUCAAAUUGGAUUCAUUUUUUUCCAGAUUUUUCUUUUGUACAUCUCUUAUUUUACUUCUGCCCUCUUCAAAACUAGCAAAUGUUUCAUUGAAAAUAAUUUUUUUAAGCCUGUAAGAGCACAUUUAAGACAUAAAGUCACUAAUAUAGCAAAAAUUUGAGCCUUUUAACUUUUUCUGUAGCAUCAGAUUUAAUAGACAACUCCCUUUGGCGCCCCUCAGUGGCCAUAACUACUUUUAAGAAUGUGGAUUUUUGGGUCAUCUGAGCAAAUUUGGUGCCGGUGGAACAAAAGCCUUCGGAGGAGAUAGCGAAAUUCCAAUGUGUGCGGAUCGGCCAUAAAUGCGAAAUAGCCCUUUAACCGUACAUUUGACAGAUACGCCCGCACUGACUUUUUUGUAGAUCUUAUUGAGAUACACGUGUGUGUCAAAUUUUGUGUCAAUAUGAAAAAGCGUACAGGCGUAAGGUGAAUUUUCACCUAAGGGGGCGCUAUGGAGCCAUUUUGCAUUUUAUUGUUUGGGCGACUUCAGAAUAUCGAAUUUUUCAUCAGGCCCGGUCUUCCUGCCAAAUUUCAUGAGUUUUCGCCAGUGGGAAGUGGGCCAUUUUCCCAUUUAAAACAGAGGAAAAAUAACGGAAGAACUAGGGCCCCGGUGGGGCACUGUCGGGCCCGAGCCGCGUCGCGCCGCCCCCAGCGCGACCGCCUCCCCCUCCCGAUCGCGUCACACUCAAGGUCCAAAGAUGGUGUGCGCACUUGUCUGUGGUCAUUUACCAUUAUAAUGAAUGGGAGGCGCAGUUUCUACCAAAACGCUCGCUGCAGACAAACUCCAUGUCCUAUUUGAAAAAAGUCUGGAACAUGAGUGAGGGCACAAACACAGCUAAGAUAUAUCCAAAUGGCAAGUUGCUCCUCCUUUCGGUUUUGCCGAGAGAGCGAUGCGUUUAAGCCAUUGAGCGAUGGGCAGGAACAACUUGACUUUUUCUCCGGCCAUGGGGGGGCGCUCUUUUGGGGAGUACAAAUUCCUUCACAAUUGUGUUGAUGGCUGAACAUUGCAUUAUCCUAGAAAACUUGGAGGCCAGUGAGGACAAAAAUAAAAAGGUAUAAGACUUUUGAAAAUGUGGAUUUUUGGGUUAUCUUUGGCGCCCCCUAGAACGUAAAUCGUGGGGUGCAGCAUCAUGAUUUUUACAACUUUUAAUGGCCAUGGGGUGUAGAUUGGCCUGAGCAAAUUUGGUGCCGAUGGGACGCAAGCUUUAGGAGGAGUUAGCCACAUUCCAAUGUGUGCGAAUUGGCAAAAAAUGCGAAAUAGCCCUUUAACCGUACAUUUGACAGAUACGCGCGCAUUGACUUUUUCGUAGAUCUUAUUGAGAUACACGUGAUUGUCAAAUUUUGUGUCAAUAUGACAAAGCGUAUAGGCGUGAAUCUCAACAAUAUGUAUUUUCACCUUAAGGGACAAGAAAAAAUGGACUUUUUUCUCCUGCCAUGGGGGGGCGCUCUUUUGGGGAGUAAAAAUUCCUUCACAAAUGUGUUGAUGGCUGGACAUUGCAUCAUCCUAGAAAACUUGGAGGCCAGUGAGGACAAAAAAUAAAAAGUUAUAAGACUUUUAAAUAUGUGGAUUUUAGGGUUAUCUUUGGCGCCCCCUAGAACGUAAACCGUGGGGUGCAGCGUCAUGAUUUGAAUAACUUUUAAUGGCCAUGGGGUGUAGAUUGGCCUGAGCAAAUGUGGUGCCGGUGGAACGAAAGCCUUCGGAGGAGUUAGCCACAUUCCAAUGUGUGCGGAUCGGCAAAAAAUGCGAAAUAACCCUUUAACCGUAAUUUUGACAGAUACGGCCGCACUGACUUUUUUGUAGAUCUUAUUGAGAUACAUAUGUGUGUCAAUUUUUGUGUCAAUAUGACAAAGCGUACAGGCGUGACAGUCAAUAGUGUGAAUUUCCACCUUAGGGGGCGCUAUGGAGCCAUUUUGCAUUUUAUUGUUUGGGCGACUUCAGAAUAUCGAAUUUUUCACCAGGCCCGGUCGUCCUGCGCAAAAAAUGCGGAAUAACCCUUUAACCGUACAUUUGACAGAUACGCGCGCAUUGACUUUUUCGUAGAUCUUAUUGAGUUACAUGUGUGUGUCAAUUUUUGUGUCAUUUUGACAAAGCGUAUAGGCGUGACACUCAACAAUGUGUAUUUUCACCUUAGGGGACAAGAAAAAAUGGACUUUUUUCUCCUGCCAUGGGGGGGCGCUCUUUUGGGGAGUAAAAAUUCCUUCACAAAUGUGUUGAUGGCUGGACAUUGCAUCAUCCUAGAAAACUUGGAGGCCAGUGAGGACAAAAAUAAAAAGUUAUAAGACUUUUAAAUAUGUGGAUUUUAGUGUUAUCUUUGGCGCCCCCUAGAACCUAAACCUUGGGGUGCAGCGUCAUGAUUUUGAUAACUUUUAAUGGCCACGGGGUGUAGAUUGGCCUGAGCAAAUGUGGUGCCGGUGGAACGAAAGCCUUCGGAGGAGUUAGCGAAAUUCCAAUGUGUGCGGAUCGGCAAAAAAUGCGAAAUAACCCUUUAACCGUAAUUUUGACAGAUACGCCCGCACUGACUUUUUUGUAGAUCUUAUUGAGAUACAUAUGUGUGUCAAUUUUUGUGUCAAUAUGACAAAGCGUACAGGCGUGACAGUCAAUAGUGUGAAUUUCCACCUUAGGGGGCGCUAUGGAGCCAUUUUGCAUUUUAUUGUUUGGGCGACUUCAGAAUAUCGAAUUUUUCAUCAGGCCCGGUCGUCCUGCGCAAAAAAUGCGGAAUAACCCUUUAACCGUACAUUUGACAGAUACGCGCGCAUUGACUUUUUUGUAGAUCUUAUUGAGUUACAUGUGUGUGUCAAUUUUUGUGUCAUUUUGACAAAGCGUAUAGGCAUGACACUCAACAAUGUGUAUUUUCACCUUAGGGGACAAGAAAAAAUGGACUUUUUUCUCCUGCCAUGGGGGGGCGCUCUUUUGGGGAAACAUAAUUCCUUCACAAAUGUGUUGCUGGCUGGACAUUGCAUCAUCCUAGAAAACUUGGAGGCCAGUGAGGAGAAAAAUAAAAAGUUAUAAGACUUUUAAAUAUGUGGAUUUUUGGGUUAUCUUUGGCGCCCCCUAGAACCUAAACCGUGGGGUGCAGCGUCAUGAUUUGAAUAACUUUUAAUGACCAUGGGGUGUAGAUUGGCCUGAGCAAAUGUGGUGCCGGUGGAACCAAAGCCUUCGGAGGAGUUAGCGAAAUUCCAAUGUGUGCGGAUCGGCAAAAAAUGCAAAAUAACCCUUUAACCGUAAUUUUGACAGAUACGGCCGCACUGACUUUUUUGUAGAUCUUAUUGAGAUACAUAUGUGUGUCAAUUUUUGUGUCAAUAUGACAAAGCGUACAGGCGUGACAGUCAAUAGUGUGAAUUUACACCUUAGGGGGCGCUAUGGAGCCAUUUUGCAUUUUAUUGUUUGGGCGACUUCAGAAUAUCGAAUUUUUCACCAGGCCCGGUCGUCCUGC